GGGUUGUGAGGUUAAGCGACUAAGCGUACACGGUGGAUGCCCUGGCAGUCAGAGGCGAUGAAGGACGUGCUAAUCUGCGAUAAGCGUCGGUAAGGUGAUAUGAACCGUUAUAACCGGCGAUUUCCGAAUGGGGAAACCCAGUGUGUUUCGACACACUAUCAUUAACUGAAUCCAUAGGUUAAUGAGGCGAACCGGGGGAACUGAAACAUCUAAGUACCCCGAGGAAAAGAAAUCAACCGAGAUUCCCCCAGUAGCGGCGAGCGAACGGGGAGCAGCCCAGAGCCUGAAUCAGUGUGUGUGUUAGUGGAAGCGUCUGGAAAGGCGCGCGAUACAGGGUGACAGCCCCGUACACAAAAAUGCACAUGCUGUGAGCUCGAUGAGUAGGGCGGGACACGUGGUAUCCUGUCUGAAUAUGGGGGGACCAUCCUCCAAGGCUAAAUACUCCUGACUGACCGAUAGUGAACCAGUACCGUGAGGGAAAGGCGAAAAGAACCCCGGCGAGGGGAGUGAAAAAGAACCUGAAACCGUGUACGUACAAGCAGUGGGAGCACGCUUCGGCGUGUGACUGCGUACCUUUUGUAUAAUGGGUCAGCGACUUAUAUUCUGUAGCAAGGUUAACCGAAUAGGGGAGCCGAAGGGAAACCGAGUCUUAACUGGGCGUUAAGUUGCAGGGUAUAGACCCGAAACCCGGUGAUCUAGCCAUGGGCAGGUUGAAGGUUGGGUAACACUAACUGGAGGACCGAACCGACUAAUGUUGAAAAAUUAGCGGAUGACUUGUGGCUGGGGGUGAAAGGCCAAUCAAACCGGGAGAUAGCUGGUUCUCCCCGAAAGCUAUUUAGGUAGCGCCUCGUGAAUUCAUCUCCGGGGGUAGAGCACUGUUUCGGCAAGGGGGUCAUCCCGACUUACCAACCCGAUGCAAACUGCGAAUACCGGAGAAUGUUAUCACGGGAGACACACGGCGGGUGCUAACGUCCGUCGUGAAGAGGGAAACAACCCAGACCGCCAGCUAAGGUCCCAAAGUCAUGGUUAAGUGGGAAACGAUGUGGGAAGGCCCAGACAGCCAGGAUGUUGGCUUAGAAGCAGCCAUCAUUUAAAGAAAGCGUAAUAGCUCACUGGUCGAGUCGGCCUGCGCGGAAGAUGUAACGGGGCUAAACCAUGCACCGAAGCUGCGGCAGCGACGCUUAUGCGUUGUUGGGUAGGGGAGCGUUCUGUAAGCCUGUGAAGGUGUGCUGUGAGGCAUGCUGGAGGUAUCAGAAGUGCGAAUGCUGACAUAAGUAACGAUAAAGCGGGUGAAAAGCCCGCUCGCCGGAAGACCAAGGGUUCCUGUCCAACGUUAAUCGGGGCAGGGUGAGUCGACCCCUAAGGCGAGGCCGAAAGGCGUAGUCGAUGGGAAACAGGUUAAUAUUCCUGUACUUGGUGUUACUGCGAAGGGGGGACGGAGAAGGCUAUGUUGGCCGGGCGACGGUUGUCCCGGUUUAAGCGUGUAGGCUGGUUUUCCAGGCAAAUCCGGAAAAUCAAGGCUGAGGCGUGAUGACGAGGCACUACGGUGCUGAAGCAACAAAUGCCCUGCUUCCAGGAAAAGCCUCUAAGCAUCAGGUAACAUCAAAUCGUACCCCAAACCGACACAGGUGGUCAGGUAGAGAAUACCAAGGCGCUUGAGAGAACUCGGGUGAAGGAACUAGGCAAAAUGGUGCCGUAACUUCGGGAGAAGGCACGCUGAUAUGUAGGUGAAGCGACUUGCUCGUGGAGCUGAAAUCAGUCGAAGAUACCAGCUGGCUGCAACUGUUUAUUAAAAACACAGCACUGUGCAAACACGAAAGUGGACGUAUACGGUGUGACGCCUGCCCGGUGCCGGAAGGUUAAUUGAUGGGGUUAGCGGUAACGCGAAGCUCUUGAUCGAAGCCCCGGUAAACGGCGGCCGUAACUAUAACGGUCCUAAGGUAGCGAAAUUCCUUGUCGGGUAAGUUCCGACCUGCACGAAUGGCGUAAUGAUGGCCAGGCUGUCUCCACCCGAGACUCAGUGAAAUUGAACUCGCUGUGAAGAUGCAGUGUACCCGCGGCAAGACGGAAAGACCCCGUGAACCUUUACUAUAGCUUGACACUGAACAUUGAGCCUUGAUGUGUAGGAUAGGUGGGAGGCUUUGAAGUGUGGACGCCAGUCUGCAUGGAGCCGACCUUGAAAUACCACCCUUUAAUGUUUGAUGUUCUAACGUUGACCCGUAAUCCGGGUUGCGGACAGUGUCUGGUGGGUAGUUUGACUGGGGCGGUCUCCUCCUAAAGAGUAACGGAGGAGCACGAAGGUUGGCUAAUCCUGGUCGGACAUCAGGAGGUUAGUGCAAUGGCAUAAGCCAGCUUGACUGCGAGCGUGACGGCGCGAGCAGGUGCGAAAGCAGGUCAUAGUGAUCCGGUGGUUCUGAAUGGAAGGGCCAUCGCUCAACGGAUAAAAGGUACUCCGGGGAUAACAGGCUGAUACCGCCCAAGAGUUCAUAUCGACGGCGGUGUUUGGCACCUCGAUGUCGGCUCAUCACAUCCUGGGGCUGAAGUAGGUCCCAAGGGUAUGGCUGUUCGCCAUUUAAAGUGGUACGCGAGCUGGGUUUAGAACGUCGUGAGACAGUUCGGUCCCUAUCUGCCGUGGGCGCUGGAGAACUGAGGGGGGCUGCUCCUAGUACGAGAGGACCGGAGUGGACGCAUCACUGGUGUUCGGGUUGUCAUGCCAAUGGCACUGCCCGGUAGCUAAAUGCGGAAGAGAUAAGUGCUGAAAGCAUCUAAGCACGAAACUUGCCCCGAGAUGAGUUCUCCCUGACUCCUUGAGAGUCCUGAAGGAACGUUGAAGACGACGACGUUGAUAGGCCGGGUGUGUAAGCGCAGCGAUGCGUUGAGCUAACCGGUACUAAU
rnacentral:rRNA from 1 species